rnacentral:rRNA from 1 species
UACGUAGGGGGCAAGCGUUGUCCGGAAUCAUUGGGCGUAAAGCGUGCGCAGGCGGUUUUGUAAGUCAGAUGUGAAAUCCCCGGGCUUAACCUGGGAACUGCGUUUGAAACUACAAGGCUAGAGUGUGACAGAGGGGGGUGGAAUUCCACGUGUAGCAGUGAAAUGCGUAGAGAUGUGGAGGAACACCGAUGGCGAAGGCAGCCCCCUGGGUUAACACUGACGCUCAGGCACGAAAGCGUGGGGAGCAAACAGG